rnacentral:rRNA from 1 species
UACGUAGGGUGCAAGCGUUAAUCGGAAUUACUGGGCGUAAAGCGUGCGCAGGCGGUUUUGUAAGUCUGUCGUGAAAUCCCCGGGCUCAACCUGGGAAUUGCGAUGGAGACUGCAAGGCUAGAAUCUGGCAGAGGGGGGUAGAAUUCCACGUGUAGCAGUGAAAUGCGUAGAGAUGUGGAGGAACACCGAUGGUGAAGGCAGCCCCCUGGGUCAAGAUUGACGCUCAUGCACGAAAGGCGUGGGGAGCAAACGAGG